rnacentral:lncRNA from 1 species
AAAAUAAUAAAAAAGGAACUGAAAUAGCCAUAUGAGUACUGUCCCCAUUCUUUCUUAUACAAAGGAAGAGAAAAUAGCAAUGGAAAGAAAAAAGGAUGAGUUGGUUUGGGUGCUGAUACGAGUAGUCUAACUCAUCCUUUCAUAUAUAUAGUGCUCAACUACUCCUUGAAUAGAUAAACUCAUAUAUAAAGUGGUGAACACGUUGGUUGAAGAAAU